GGGGAAAGAUUUAUCGGGGUAUGAUGAGCCCGCGUUGGAUUAGCUAGUUGGUGGGGUAAAGGCCUACCAAGGCGACGAUCCAUAGCUGGUCUGAGAGGAUGAUCAGCCACAUUGGGACUGAGACACGGCCCAAACUCCUACGGGAGGCAGCAGUGGGGAAUAUUGGACAAUGGGCGCAAGCCUGAUCCAGCCAUGCCGCGUGAGUGAUGAAGGCCUUAGGGUUGUAAAGCUCUUUCAACGGUGAAGAUAAUGACGGUAACCGUAGAAGAAGCCCCGGCUAACUUCGUG
rnacentral:rRNA from 1 species